rnacentral:misc_RNA from 1 species
GAAAAAAGAAAAAAAAUCUCCCAUCUUCAACAUGACCUCAGUGAUUUCUCUUCAUUCAUCUGAUCAUCUUCCUCAUUCUUGAAGUCAUGGCUUUGAUGUUGAGGUUACUAGUGAGGCUGCUGAUGGUUCCCCCGCCACCUGCCUCUGUCACAACCUUACUGUAUUACAGUAAUCUUCUUCCAAGAAACUUGAACUUAGAGCGAUUGGUUCGUCAAGAAUUGCUCCACGAGGAAAACUAUUUGUUUAAUUUUCUCAUCAGUGUCCUGAGAUGUUUCUGAGUGAGGACUGCAUACUUUUCCUGCAAUGGUAUCCAUGGAUGGAUCGGUGAGUUGUAAUCUUUUACGUUUGAACAGAUGCAAGAAAUUAUG